rnacentral:tmRNA from 2 species
CGCCUUUGCAUCGCGCUGCGGAAUCCCUAUAUUCGCGGUGCCGGAGCGAUCCGGUCUAUGGCGAUAAACGGCCAUCGUAAUAAACCCUGCGGACCCGGGGGCAGUACCCGGCGCCUCCACCCGAGCCCAUGGCCCCGAAAUCGUGGGCUCCGGCGGGGGCGAUACAGGAUCGACGAGGGCGUAAAGGGUGAGCUUUCGCUCGGCAUGGUUCCGCCGUUAUCGGGCCAAACCUAUAGUUGCUAACGACAACUAUGCCGAGGCUCGCCUCGCCGCGUAAUGCGGUGAUGCAACCUCAUUCAAAGCCCUUGCGGUUCGCAUCGUAAGGCGGGGUUCGGAGGCACCUGGCAACAGAAGCCUCCACU